rnacentral:rRNA from 1 species
GGCUCAACCUGGGAACGGCAACCGGAACUAUCAGGCUAGAGUGCAGGAGAGGAAGGUAGAAUUCCCGGUGUAGCGGUGAAAUGCGUAGAGAUCGGGAGGAAUACCAGUGGCGAAGGCGGCCUUCUGGACUGACACUGACACUGAGGUGCGAAAGCGUGGGUAGCAAACAGGAUUAGAUACCCUGGUAGUCCACGCCGUAAACGAUGUCGACCAGCCGUUGGGUGCCUAGCGCACUUUGUGGCGAAGUUAACGCGAUAAGUCGACCGCCUGGGGAGUACGGCCGCAAGGUUAAAACUCAAAUGAAUUGACGGGGGCCCGCACAAGCGGUGGAGCAUGUGGUUUAAUUCGAUGCAACGCGAAGAACCUUACCUACCCUUGACAUCCUGCGAACUUGGUAGAGAUACCUUGGUGCCUUCGGGAGCGCAGAGACAGGUGCUGCAUGGCUGUCGUCAGCUCGUGUUGUGAAAUGUUGGGUUAAGUCCCGUAACGAGCGCAACCCUUGUCCUUAUUUGCCAGCACGUAAUGGUGGGAACUCUAAGGAGACUGCCGGUGACAAACCGGAGGAAGGUGGGGACGACGUCAAGUCAUCAUGGCCCUUACGGGUAGGGCUACACACGUGCUACAAUGGCAGGUACAAAGGGUUGCUAGACGGCGACGUGGAGCUAAUCCCAGAAAGCCUGCCUCAGUCCGGAUCGGAGUCUGCAACUCGACUCCGUGAAGUCGGAAUCGCU